rnacentral:rRNA from 1 species
UACGGAGGGUGCGAGCGUUGUCCGGAAUCACUGGGCGUAGAGGGCGCGUAGGCGGCGCGGGAAGUCAUCGGUGAAAGUUCAGGGCUCAACUCUGAAUCGGCCGGUGAUACUCUCGUGCUCGAGCACUGUAGAGGCAGGUGGAAUUCCGGGUGUAGCGGUGGAAUGCGUAGAGAUCCGGAAGAACACCGGUGGCGAAGGCGGCCUGCUGGGCAGUAGCUGACGCUGAUGCGCGACAGCGUGGGGAGCAAACAGG